GAUGAACGCUGGCGGCGUGCCUAAUACAUGCAAGUCGAGCGAACGGACGAGAAGCUUGCUUCUCUGAUGUUAGCGGCGGACGGGUGAGUAACACGUGGAUAACCUACCUAUAAGACUGGGAUAACUUCGGGAAACCGGAGCUAAUAGCGGAUAAUAUUUUGAACCGCAUGGUUCAAAAGUGAAAGACGGUCUUGCUGUCACUUAUAGAUGGAUCCGCGCUGCAUUAGCUAGUUGGUAAGGUAACGGCUUACCAAGGCAACGAUGCAUAGCCGACCUGAGAGGGUGAUCGGCCACACUGGAACUGAGACACGGUCCAGACUCCUACGGGAGGCAGCAGUAGGGAAUCUUCCGCAAUGGGCGAAAGCCUGACGGAGCAACGCCGCGUGAGUGAUGAAGGUCUUCGGAUCGUAAAACUCUGUUAUUAGGGAAGAACAUAUGUGUAAGUAACUGUGCACAUCUUGACGGUACCUAAUCAGAAAGCCACGGCUAACUACGUG
rnacentral:rRNA from 1 species